rnacentral:rRNA from 1 species
GAUGAACGCUAGCGCCUUGGAAAGGAAUACAUGCAAGCCGAGGGGCAGCAGCUUUAUAGCAAUAUAGAGGCUGGCGACCGGCAAACGGGUGUUUUUACCCGUACACAACCUUCCUUGAAUAGGGGGAUAGCCCAUAGAAAUGUGGAUUAAUACCCCGUAAUAUAGCGGUGUGGCAUCACACUGUCAUUUCAGUUUCGACGAUUCGAGAUGGGUGUGCGGCUGAUUAGGUAGUUGGCGGGGUAAAGGCCCACCAAGCCUUCGAUCAGUACCUGAUGUGAGAGCAUGAUCAGCCAUACGGGCACUGAGACCCGGGCCCGACUCCUACGGAAGGCAUUUUUUAAUGAAUAUGGGUCAAUGGACGCAAGUCUGAACCAGCCAUGCUGCUUGAAGGAGGAAGGUCCUCUGGAUCGUAAACUUCUUUUAUAGGGGGCGAAAACAGGUCUUUCUAGAUCACUUGACAGUACCCUUAUGAAUAAGCCCCGGUUAUAUCU